rnacentral:rRNA from 1 species
AUUGAACGCUGGCGGCAGGCCUAACACAUGCAAGUCGAGCGAGCGGCGGACGGGAGAAUAAUGUAUGGGGACUGCGCGAGAGGGGGGGAAAACUAGUGGAAACGGGGGAUAAUACCGAAUUCUAUGGGAAAACCCAUAUGGGAUUAGCUAGUAGGUGGGGUAAAGGCUCACCUAGGCGACGAUCCCUAGCUGGUCUGAGAGGAUGAUCAGCCACACUGGGACUGAGACACGGCCCAGACUCCUACGGAGGCAGCAGUGGGGAAUAUUGCACAAUGGGCGCAAGCCUGAUGCAGCCAUGCCGCGUGUAUGAAGAAGGCCUUAGGGUUGUAAAGUACUUUCAGCGGGGAGGCGUUACCCGCAGAAGAAGCACCGGCUAACUCCGUGCCAGCAGCCGCGGUAAUAC